rnacentral:rRNA from 1 species
UACAGGGGGUGCAAACGUUGCUCGGAAUCAUUGGGCGUAAAGCGCACGUAGGCGGUCUGUUAUGUCGGAUGUGAAAGCCCUAGGCUCAACCUAGGAAGUGCAUUCGAAACUGGCGAGCUUGAAUAUGGAAGAGGGUCGCGGAAUUCCCGGUGUAGAGGUGAAAUUCGUAGAUAUCGGGAGGAAGGCCGGUGGCGAAGGCGGCGCUCUGGAACAUUUCUGACGCUGAGGCUCGAAAGCGUGGGGAGCAAACAGG